GCCGCCCCUGCCCCAAGGAGGAGCGGCUGGCAGGAUAGGGGGACUGCGGAGGAUCGGCGUGGAAUGGAUGCGACGGUGCCAGUAAACAGGCGCCGAGGAAAGGUGAGGAAACUGAGGCCAGAGAGGGGACAAGUCAGAGGACAUGCUGAAGAAGACCUGGGAGUGGAACAGACACCCAGGAUGCAUGAAAUCAAGUCUGAUGCCCUUGCCAAGUGCUCCCCAAGUCCCUGGGGAGCCA
rnacentral:lncRNA from 1 species